CCUACGGGUGGCUGCAGUCGAGAAUCAUUCACAAUGGGGGAAACCCUGAUGGUGCGACGCCGCGUGGGGGAAUGAAGGUCUUCGGAUUGUAAACCCCUGUCAUGUGGGAGCAAAUUAAAAAGAUAGUACCACAAGAGGAAGAGACGGCUAACUCGGUGCCAGCAGCCGCGGUAAUACAGAGGUCUCAAGCGUUGUUCGGAAUCACUGGGUGUAAGGCGUGCGUAGGCUGUUUCGUAAGUCGUGUGUGAAAGGCGCGGGCUCAACCCGCGGACGGCACAUGAUACUGCGAGACUAGAGUAAUGGAGGGGGAACCGGAAUUAUCGGUGUAGCAGUGAAAUGCGUAGAUAUCGAGAGGAACACUCGUGGCGAAGGCGGGUUCCUGGACAUUAACUGACGCUGAGGCACGAAGGCCAGGGGAGCGAAAGGGAUUAGAUACCCUGGUAGUC
rnacentral:rRNA from 1 species